rnacentral:tRNA from 1 species
GGAGCAUGGUUCAGAGGUAGGGCAUUUGCUUGGCAUGCAGUGGGACCCUGGUUCUAUCCUGGGCAUCUCCA